rnacentral:lncRNA from 1 species
GCUGUUCUCAUGACCAUCCGCUCACGCUGUUGGAUUCGUGCAUCUCUGGGUUAGUCGUCAUGUUCCUAUUAAUUUGCCUCUAGUAGUUCCUCAUUAGAACAUUUUAUGAUAUAUAAAGAUUGGGGGUUUGGGGUUUUUUUUUUUGAGACAGGGUCUUGCCAUGUUGCUCAGGCUGGAGACUGGGGAGUUUUGACUGAAAGUAUCUGAUGACCUUGUCAGUGGCUGUUGGUUGUCACGAAUUGCUUAAAAAUACAUAAAUCUUCAUAAUAAAGCUAUUCUGAUUCUUCAUUUAAAACAUCCUGGUAUAGUUUGUAUAAUUAGUUGUAAUAAGAUUUUAAAGAUCCUGUAAUCCCAGCUACUUAGAAGGCUGAGACAGGAGGAUCACUUUAGCCCAGUAGUUCAAGACCAGCCUGGGCAACAUACUGAGACCCCCAUCUCAUUUAAAAAGAAAAAAAAAAUCUUUAAAUGUACCUGUGUAGUUUUAUGAGGUACUUCUAAACAAUGUAAUGUUAAUACAUAUUCUUUUAUUUGCUUCAAACUAGGAUGAAAUACAGGGAGAACAUGGUUCCUUUUAGGAUUCUGAUAAUUAGGGUUUUAUUUUCUAAACUAGAGUUUCUAGUUGGAGUGGAAGUCCUGAGUUCCCUUUGCCUCUCUGUGGCCUUGCCGUUUUGCCGAAAACCUCCCAUCUCCCUAGUCACCCUUGGUCUCUAAAAGGGCUCUUUUGAGGAGAACUCUUAUUCUCUAGUCAGCGGGUCUAGCUUAUCCUUUGUACUCGAAGGACUUCGUUUAUUUUUCCUCUGGUUGACUUCAUGUGUUGAAAAUUUU